AGUCGAGGGGUAUGGUUCUUCGGAGCCAGAGACCGGCGCACGGGUGCGUAAGCGUAUGCAAUCUACCUUUUACAGCGGGAUAGCCCAGAGAAAUUUGGAUUAAUACCUCAUAGUAUAUAGAGUUGGCAUCAACACUAUAUUAAAGUCACAACGGUAAAAGAUGAGCAUGCGUCCCAUUAGCUAGUUGGUAAGGUAACGGCUUACCAAGGCUACGAUGGGUAGGGGUCCUGAGAGGGAGAUCCCCCACACUGGUACUGAGACACGGACCAGACUCCUACGGGAGGCAGCAGUGAGGAAUAUUGGACAAUGGGCGCAAGCCUGAUCCAGCCAUGCCGCGUGCAGGAUGACGGUCCUAUGGAUUGUAAACUGCUUUUAUACGAGAAGAAACACUCCUUCGUGAAGGAAUUUGACGGUAUCGUAAGAAUAAGGAUCGGCUAACUCCGUGCCAGCAGCCGCGGUAAUACGGAGGAUCCAAGCGUUAUCCGGAAUCAUUGGGUUUAAAGGGUCCGUAGGCGGUCUUGUAAGUCAGUGGUGAAAGCCCAUCGCUCAACGGUGGAACGGCCAUUGAUACUGCUGGACUUGAAUUAUUAGGAAGUAACUAGAAUAUGUAGUGUAGCGGUGAAAUGCUUAGAGAUUACAUGGAAUACCAAUUGCGAAGGCAGGUUACUACUAAUUGAUUGACGCUGAUGGACGAAAGCGUGGGUAGCGAACAG
rnacentral:rRNA from 1 species